GUGGGGAAUAUUGCACAAUGGGCGAAAGCCUGAUGCAGCGACGCCGCGUGAGCGAUGAAGUAUUUCGGUACGUAAAGCUCUAUCAGCAGGGAAGAUAAUGACGGUACCUGACUAAGAAGCACCGGCUAAAUACGUGCCAGCAGCCGCGGUAAUACGUAUGGUGCAAGCGUUAUCCGGAUUUACUGGGUGUAAAGGGAGCGUAGGCGGCGUGGUAAGUCAGAAGUGAAAGCCCGGGGCUCAACCCCGGGACUGCUUUUGAAACUAUCAUGCUAGAGUGUCGGAGAGGUAAGUGGAAUUCCUAGUGUAGCGGUGAAAUGCGUAGAUAUUAGGAGGAACACCAGUGGCGAAGGCGGCUUACUGGACUGUAACUGACGUUGAGGCUCGAAAGCGUGGGGAGCAAACAGGAUUAGAAACCCGAGUAGUCC
rnacentral:rRNA from 1 species